rnacentral:rRNA from 1 species
UACGAAGGGGGCUAGCGUUGCUCGGAAUCACUGGGCGUAAAGCGCAUGUAGGCGGAUCUUUAAGUCAGGGGUGAAAUCCCAAGGCUCAACCUUGGAACUGCCUUUGAUACUGGGGAUCUCGAGUCCGGAAGAGGUUGGUGGAACUGCGAGUGUAGAGGUGAAAUUCGUAGAUAUUCGCAAGAACACCAGUGGCGAAGGCGGCCAACUGGUCCGGUACUGACGCUGAGGUGCGAAAGCGUGGGGAGCAAACAGGG